CUGCGUGAGCGGAACGAAAACAANAACACCUAAAAUGUGGAAUAUAGCAUAUAGUCGACAAGAGAAAUCUACGAAAAACAAACAAAACUUUCAACAACGGAUCUCUUGGUUCUCGCAUCGAUGAAGA
rnacentral:misc_RNA from 1 species